CGCGGCGUCUCAGUCGCAGCACCGCGCGCGCGCCGUAAACGCGAAUGUCAGACGCGUCGCGAGUACAAGGUAAAUCUUCGUCCGAACGUUCUUUCGCGCGCUCGAUAAACGAAAAGGGGCGAACGCGGCCGCUUCCGAGAGUGCGAUAACCCAGUGUACGCUCGAAUACAGUAACGGAUAAGAGAACGUGUUUCAUCCUCCUGUCGCGUCGCGAUCGCGCAGUAGCGGUUAGAUUGAGGUUAGGGGACGUCGCCUGUUUUGUAGUGCACUCGUGACACGCGUGCGCGACGAUUCGAGCCAGCAAGCUGUGCACGCGGUUCGCGCCGCUGUCAAUUUCAUCUUCAGCUGGUGGCGGAGACAACACGCCGACAGUGCGAGCCCCUUAAUGGCGUAACGGCCACGGUCGUGGACAACGGGCAGCAGGGACGGAAGAAAGGAGCGGAGAGAGCGGGCAGGCUGUGUGUACGGUGACGUAAGAAGUCAAAUUAAUAUCGUCGAAGAGUGGCGUCGACGAUAUAAAGGAUAUCGACCAAGUGAAGGAGAGAUUGUUUGAGGAAGUCUUGCGUGUGCAAGAGAGUGAAAAAGGAAGCUGCGAGCGCGAUGGGCGAGAGACGCGGUACGAAGGCCUUAGAGCUUUGGUGCCGGCGUAUAACCGACGGUUAUCCGGGUGUAAACGUGCAAAACAUGACCACCUCCUGGAGAGACGGGCUAGCCUUCUGCGCCAUGAUUCAUCACUUUCGGCCAGAUCUCAUUGAUUUCGACGGCCUG